rnacentral:rRNA from 1 species
UACGUAGGGGGCAAGCGUUGUCCGGAUUUAUUGGGCGUAAAGAGCUCGUAGGCGGUUUGUCGCGUCUGCCGUGAAAGUCCGGGGCUCAACUCCGGAUCUGCGGUGGGUACGGGCAGACUAGAGUGAUGUAGGGGAGACUGGAAUUCCUGGUGUAGCGGUGAAAUGCGCAGAUAUCAGAAGGAACACCGAUGGCGAAGGCAGGUCUCUGGGCAUUAACUGACGCUGAGGAGCGAAAGCAUGGGGAGCGAACAGG